AUGGCGCCCCGAACCCUCCUCCUGCUGCUCUCGGGGACCUUGGCCCUGACCGAGACCAAGGCGGGCUCCCACUCCUUGAGGUAUUUCAGCACCAUCCGUGUCCCGGCCCGGCCACGGGGAGCCCCGCUUCAUCGCCGUGGGCUACAUGCGGUUCGUGCGGUUCGACAGUGACGCCGCGAGUCCGAGGAUGGAGCCGCGGGAGUGGUGGGUGGAGCAGGAGGGGCCUGGAGUAUUGGGAGCUGCAGACACUGGGCGCCAAGGCCCAGGCACAGACUGGCUGAGUGAACCUGAGGACCCUGCUCCCAUACUACAACCAGAGCGAGGCCGGGUCUCACACCCUCCAGGUAAUGUUUGGCUGCGACCUGGGGCCCGACGGAUGCCUCCUCCGCUGGUAUGAACAGUAUGCCUACGACGGCAAGGAUUAUAUCGCCCUGAACGAGGACCUGAGCUCCUGGACACACAGCGGCUCAGACCACCCUGCGCAAGUAGGAGGCGGCCAAUGUGGCUGAGCAAAGGAGAGCCUAUCUGGAGGGCAACUGCGUAGAGUGGCUCCACAGACACCUGUAAAAGGGGAAGGAGACGCUGCAGCGCGCGGACUCCCCCAAGACACACGUGACCCACCAUCCUGUCUCUGAACACGAGGCCACCCUGAGGUGCUGGGUCCUGGGCUUGUAUCCUGCAGAGAUCACACUGACCUGGCAGUGGGAUGGGGAGGACCAGACCCAGGACAUGGAGCUCGGGGAGACCAGGCCCGCAGGGGAUGGAACCUUCCAGAAGUGGGUGGCUGUGGUGGUGCCUUCUGCAGAGGAGCAGAGAUUCACAUGCCAUGUGCAGCAUGAGGGUCUGCCCAAGCCCCUCACCCUGAGAUGGGAGCCGUCUCUCCAGCCCACCAUCCCCAUUGUGGGCAUCAUUGCUGGCCUGGUUGUCCUUGCAGCUGUUGUCACUGGAGCUGUGGUCGCUGCUGUGCUGUGGAGGAAGAAGAGCUCAGAUAGAAAAGGAGGGAUCUACUCUCAGGCUGGAAGUAGCCAAAGUGCCCAGAGCUCUCAUAUGUCUCUCACGGCUUAUAAAGUGUGAAACAGCCGCCUUGUGUGGGACUGAGAGGCAAGAUUUGUUCAUGCCUUCCCUUUGUGACUUCAAGAACCCUGACUUCUGUUUCUGCAAAGGCAUCUGAAUGUGUCUGUGUUCCUGUAGGCAUAAUGUGAGGAGGUGGAGAGACCAGCCCAACCCCAUGUCCACCAUGACCCUCUUCCCCACGCUGACCUGCAUUCCUUCCCCAAUCACCUUUCCUGUUCCAGAAAUGGGGCUGGGAUGUCUCCAUCUCUGUCUCAACUUCAUGGUGCACUGAGCUGUAACUUCUUACUUCCCUAUUAAAAUUAGAAUCUGAGUAUAACUUUACUUUUUUCAAAUUAUUUCCAUGAGAGGUUGAUGGGUUAAUUAAAGGAGAAGAUUCCUGAAAUUUGAGAGACAAAAUAAAUGGAAGACAUGAG